UUCAAUCCUGCAAAACAGGCCAAUUAACUGAGUGUGAACUGAGACCUCAGUGACCAGUUGAGUUUAUGAUAAUGAUUUUUUUAUUCCUCAUGAGUUUGGGCUUGUAAGAAGCAGAGAUUUCAUCACUAUUUGUUAAUGUCUUCAUAACAACAACAAAUAAAAACAAAUUAUCAAUAAAUAUGAGUCUGGGAGAGAGAAUAAUGAAACUGUGUGGUUCUGUGAAAGAGCAAAUUAAGAUUUAAUUAUGAUUAAUUAAAUUUUAAGGCAUUAAGACAUUAAUUAUGAUAUAACUUAUCCAUGAUUCUGUAUGUUGUUGCUUUAUAUGGAAUUUGUCACCUCUCAGUGUGUAUUGGCUGACUGUGAGACAAAUUCAAGUAACCAGAGACAAUGAGUUCAUCGUAUAUGACUCACAGUAGAUUCUGGCUUUGGAAACUUUACAGAUUCAAGAGCAGUACAACUGAAACCUCUCUCCUAGAUUCUUAGAAGCUUUAGCCAAGCCAGAAGCAAAUGCAUAUUAUCCUCCUCUGUCAUUUCUGAGCUCUGCUCAGAGCUGUCAAUCUGUUGGCUGAGUUGAACUGGCUGCAGAAGCAGCAGCAAGCUGAGUUUGCAGUGCUUGAUCAUGAUAGUGGUGAUGUUAGUACCAUGAUGGAGUCACUAAGAAAGCCCUGUUUUGUUCUAUAGGGUUUAUAAUACCUUUAGCACAAUGGUUCAGGGAGCACAAGCGACUGCAAGGGCUGUGCACCACAGACUGUCAUGAAUAUGGAGAGUCUCAGAAGAAUUAACUGUCUUCUCCCAGCUGAUGAUAAGCAAUACAACGUGAUUGUAAUGUGAAUGUAAGUAUCCUUGGAAUAAGCAUGGGAAUUCUGGGAAUAUACCUUGCUUAUGCUCUAGGGUUUUUCUAAGGGUAAACACCCCUUUGCAUGCAUGAAUAUUGUGCUUAUUAUCAGGGAAAGGUGGAAGAUGAGUUAUCAAUGCAACUCGGUUCUACAAAGCAAGGCAGAGAUUACUGUACCUAAGCACACUGCUAUAAGAAAAAAACUUUUAGCUUACUUGCUAGAAGUCAUAAUCUUAUAUGUGACACUGUUGAAGAGGAAGGCUCAUCACUGCCAGUAUCACUGUGCCUCCGUGAGGUGAAAAAACCAAGGACAUGUCUCAGUAGGAUAAAGACAUACAGCAAGACUGUCUUUUUGAUUUCUUCUUCUGAUACGAUCAAACUCAUAACUAAUGCUUAUGCUGAAAGCUCCAUCCAUCAAAGCAAUAUCUAGAACAGCAUAGCAGAUUCAAACUGCAGCGUCCUUAAGAGUAUGGGAGUACGUGGAGUCAUACUCAAUGUGCAUUUUGCUGGCAUCUUCCUUUCACAAACAAACAAACAAAACAGUUUUCCAUAGCCUUACGUUUUUAAGGAGAAUAUCUGAAGAAGGGCUUCUAGUUCUGUCUUGCCUCUGUGCUCAUGUACUGCAUACUCAGGAAACUUCAGAUUUAGAGUAUCUGUGCUACGUGUGGGACCCUUACUGCAUGUGAAUCAGGCUAAUGCUUGCAGGUGAUCAAAUGCACCUAGCCAAACUAAGUUUGUCCUAUGCAUGUGGAUUGUUUAUGCUUUAGGUUUUCUAUACUUCUGCAGACUGCAAGGAAUACAUCACAUCUGUUCAGUUGUGUACAUAUGUGCAUCGUAUUCAGCAUAUAUUCCCUGUGGAAUGUGCAAUAGUACAACUGUAUAUAUGUACAAAAUGUACAAGCUUACUUGGGAUUUCUGAGCUACUGCUCUGACUGGGAUGUGGUGUAUUAGCAAUCCUGGAUCAAUUUUUUUUCCUGCCCAGAUAAUGCUUUUAAAAAAGCAUUUUAAAAACAUUAUUUUUAAAAAAGACCUGUGUUAUCCCUCAGUAUUAGAAAUAGCAUUAUUGCCUAAGAUACCUACUAGAAGAAAAACGAAUCUGACCUGUUGCUUUGCAAUAUGAGCCCAGUUCUCACAUGCAUGAAAAAAAGCAAACAGAAGGUGGCAGUGCUGCUGUAUGUAGGUUUUUCUUCUACAAUGCAAAGCAAAUAACUAAAUUUCAGCUAGAGAGAUAAGAUUAAAGGUCACUCAGUCAGGAAUGCAAGCUCAGGAAUGCAUCAUUUUAAAAAAUAACUUAAAUCUUCAUGGAAUUAGAGAUCAGUGCUACCUGUGCUUUUUGUUCUGUAUCACUGGAAAAUUGUUUCAGCUGCCAAGUUAAUAUUCAGAAUUGAAUUAUUCACACAUCAGUUGUCUUAUACUCAUCUAUGACUAGCCACGAUAUGCUGCUUUAUUAUAGACCUUCUGGAAAACCUGAACCCCAAGACCAUAAUGAUUGAGCAGCAUUUUCUAACCCAGCAGGAGCAGUUGUAGCUGUGGGUCUGUCAACUGUCAGCCAGUGAUGCAGAAAGAAAACACGCGUCCUACUAACAGGGAAGAUUUCUGUGCUGCAGCUUCAGAUCUGAAAGAGAUAGUGCAGCAAGCCAGCCCUCAGGAAGCUUUCUGCAAAAUGGAAUUAUACGCGUAUUAUGAGGGCUUAAAACAAAAUUCCCUUUACAUAAUGAGGUUUUGUCUACUUAAGAAGAUUCCAUAGGAAAUGGAAAACAGGUGACACAACACAUUGCUAGAACUUGAAAGCUAACUGACAAAGGAAAAAGAAGAGUUUGGUCUUCUACAGCUUGCAGUGCACGUGCUGACUAAUAUGUGGAAGACGUGUGCUGAUGGUGGGACAUUUGUGAUAUUGUGCAUGCCAGUGUGGUUAUAUUGGAACCUGUGAAUUAACUUGUGAAGUUACAAACUGAUGAGGAAAACUGUGCCCCUUGGAUUAACAGUGAUAAAUAGGUAAACAGACAAACCAGACAGACAAGUUUGUUAAGGCCUUUCCCUUCUGUUUAACUGAAUUUAAAAAGUUUUCCUGAAGAACUGUACAACUUAGACACCUGAGCUAAUUAGGGAACAGUAAGGUGUGGGGAAUGAGCUCCCUGUGUGAUGAUGUUUAGCUGCUGAGCAAUGGAUAAGAACAUUAGUACCUUCUAAUGUUACUAUUUCAACAGUAAAAAGAGAGAAUGUACACACUGAACAUGAACUCAGUAUCCAGAAAAUCUAGAAACUUUUUUCAUUGAAAAUUUAGACCCAGAACGUUGUAUGCAAAGAGCUGGGGCCUAGCCAAAGGAUUAGGUUUAUUAAGUAUUCAAGAACUGUAGCUCAAAACCAGCAUGAGCUGCAGCUGCGAUCUCAAGUGCCAGUAACAUUUGCAAGGACACAUUAUGUGCGUGUAUACAUAUAUAUAUACAUACAU